GACGAACGCUGGCGGCGUGCUUAACACAUGCAAGUCGAACGAUGAACCACUUCGGUGGGGAUUAGUGGCGAACGGGUGAGUAACACGUGGGCAAUCUGCCCUGCACUCUGGGACAAGCCCUGGAAACGGGGUCUAAUACCGGAUACUGACCCUCGCAGGCAUCUGCGAGGUUCGAAAGCUCCGGCGGUGCAGGAUGAGCCCGCGGCCUAUCAGCUUGUUGGUGAGGUAAUGGCUCACCAAGGCGACGACGGGUAGCCGGCCUGAGAGGGCGACCGGCCACACUGAGACUGAGACACGGCCCAGACUCCUACGGGAGGCAGCAGUGGGGAAUAUUGCACAAUGGGCGAAAGCCUGAUGCAGCGACGCCGCGUGAGGGAUGACGGCCUUCGGGUUGUAAACCUCUUUCAGCAGGGAAGAAGCGAAAGUGACGGUACCUGCAGAAGAAGCGCCGGCUAACUACGUGCCAGCAGCCGCGGUAAUACGUAGGGCGCAAGCGUUGUCCGGAAUUAUUGGGCGUAAAGAGCUCGUAGGCGGCUUGUCACGUCGGUUGUGAAAGCCCGGGGCUUAACCC
rnacentral:rRNA from 2 species